CCGCCCCCUCGCCUCCGCGCUCAUGUCCAUCGCCGGGAAUCUCCACACCGUGUCGCUGUUGUCGUCCUCGGCUGCCGAGCUGUCCUAGCUCGCCGCCGACGCGCGGCUGCUCGUAUCGCCCCGGAACGGUGGGGGUGAAGGGGUUGUGGCGGGGGCGGAUGUGCUGAUCCCGCGACUCUGCCUUGGUCGGCGGAUUCCCGCGCCACGGCGCUGGACGCGCUCGUUGACUCCGUCGGGUCGCCGCUGUCGGCGGCGGCGGUGUCCGCCGUGGCCGUGAUGCUCGACUCGGGCGAGAUCCUACCGGUGUUUUUAAUCUCUCUCUCUCUCAUGCGGGGGUGUGUGCGAGCUCGGAUUUUGGGCAUGUUAUCUGCCAGAGCAGAGAUGGAUGCGUGCAGCUAUGGAUUUGGGAUGAUAUCGAUUUCAGAUUGUUUUUUUUUUCUGUGCGUCGUGAUUUGUGAGUGAAUUCGUAGUUUCUCGUGAUGCAGAUUACCUCGGAGGAGGAGGAGGCCCGUCGGCAGCGAUGCAGUGGCAGUUUCCGGCGUCCAAGGUAAGCGUUCAUGUCCUUCAGGUCAUCGUCGUCGUUGGCGGCGGCGAGGGAGGAGGAUUCCAAGGAGGCGGCGGUGUUCGACCGCUUCUCCCUCUUCGGGUUCCGCCCACCGCCGCGCCUGUCUCGCCCGGUGACGCCUUCGACGGCGCCGCCGCCGCCUCCACCAUGAAGCAGCGGCAGUUUGGAUUCGACGGCCGGCAGCAGUACGCAGCCGCCGAGCAGCACGGCCACCGUGAGCAGGGCGUGGACUCCUACGGCGUCGCGGCGCCGCACCAUUUCCCAUCGCCGUCGCCGCGCCACGCCGUGCAGUUCAGCCAGGCGAACCCGAGCACCCUCCGCGGCAGCGUCGACGAGCGGUUCCCAGUGUUCGUGCUGCUCGCCGUCUCGGCGGUGCCGGAAGCAGAUGGUGGCCGUCGGCGCGUGCGGCUUCCUGCAGGGUCUCCUCGCCGUGGAGGUCGACGGCGCCAAGAAGCUCACCGAUUGCCUCGUCAGACCGGGAUGAUACGUGCCAUCAUCCAGUGCAUGCCACGUAAGCAAAACCACGGUAAAACGAGACUUUAGACCGGGAUGA
rnacentral:lncRNA from 1 species